UACUUUCUGAACAUCCUUACUAAUUGCUUUUUAAUAUUCAGAAGAAAACAUCAUAUAUACCUUGUUUAUUUUACAUAGGAUCAAGUUUGCUUUUUAUGUUUUUGUCUCAAAAAAAUUUAUAACUUCCCUUUUUGUGAUCUGUGGUGCAGGGGCACGAGAUGAACUACUUCAGCCGGGAAAGAAUGGGAAAAUCUCUGCAGAGGAAAAAGAGAGUAGAGUGACAGUGUUGUGCUUCCAUCCCAGCAAAGGGGUUUAUCCAGGAGGGUCUGAGUCAGGCUGUAUAUAAGAGCACUUCUUUUUUGGUUUAGGAUUCCAUUUCAUCAUCAUCACUUUUUUUUUUGCCAUUCUCUUCCUUGUCUUCCCUCUUCUCUUUAAGCAUUUUCAAUUGUUUACUAGGUAAAAAUCUUCUUUGGUAAUAUAUCUGCAAGAAACUGAAAAGUCUCCGAUUCCUCUGCAGUAUUUGAUGAAUCACUGUGAGGGCUUUCUUUUCUUUUCCACUGCCAUUUCUAUAGGAAUUGGAGGCUAGAUACUGAACAGAGUUCCGUGCCCUUGGCUGUUAGCAUCAGCGCCUCCUGGUUGAUGCUGGAAACCUCAAGGGAGAUCUUCAUAAUGACCCAGAAGCAGGACACGGGAAGCGACAGGAGCCACUAUUCUCCGCACUUGUCUCUGCCAAUGACCAGGUCCACCACCUUUAUGCUCCUCCCGGCUAUCCCAAUACAUUGUUUUUGUCUCUCUAGUAUUUUUAUUUAUUUAUUUAUUUAUUUAAUAAGAGUACAACUCAGCUCUGGUUUAUGGUGGUACAGGAGAUGAAGCUGGGACUUUGGAGCCUCAGACAUGACAGUCUCUUUCCAUAAUCACUAUGCUAUCUACCUCUGCCCUUGUCCUAAACUAUUCUUGGGUUCCCUUUCAAGCUGUAUCUUGUCCCCUGGCCCUUGUGGCUUUUUUUUUUUUUUUUUAACAAUGCUAGCACAGUCCCAAUGCCCACUCACACCAGUCUUUGAAACUUUAGUCACCUGAACUAACUAGUCUGAUUGCAGGUUAUGUCAACAUCUAGCUAGUUCAGAUGAACCUGAACUAGUUUUGAUCCUGCCCAUGUAUAUACACGGUGGAGACAUUCAGGACUGAGGCUGUAUGAAUUCCUCUCCUCAGUUGAGCAACUGUCAUUGGCCAACUAUCAAAGAAGCUCAAGCCAGCAAGUUGCAGGUGCUACUCUGAUGCCAUCCUGACUUACCUGGGCAGGUGACCUCACCAAAGUGUCCCAGCAUCUCGUCUCUCCAGAGCCCUACCCCACCAGGGAAAGACAGAAACAGGCUAGGGGUAUGAAUCGACCUGCCUAUGUCUGUGUUCAGUGGAGAAGCAAUGCCAGAAGCCAGGCCUCUCACCUUCUGUACCUCAUAAAGAAUUUUGGCCCAUAUUCCCAGAGACAGAUAAAACAAUAGGGAAGCUUCCAAUAAAGAGGGAUGGGACAUGGAACUCUAGUGGUGGAAACUGUGGAAUUGUACUCCUGUUAUCUUAUAAUCUUGCUAAUCAUUAUUAAAUCACUAAUAAAAAGUUAAAAUAAAAAAGCAACCUCACACAUA